rnacentral:rRNA from 1 species
AACGAACGCUGGCGGCAUGCCUAACACAUGCAAGUCGAACGAGACCUUCGGGUCUAGUGGCGCACGGGUGCGUAACGCGGGGGAACUUGCCCUUAAGUUCGGUAUAACUCCCCGAGAGGGAUGCUAAUACAGGAUAAUGUAUUCCGACCAAAGAUUUAUCGCCUUUGGAUGGGGCCGCGUUGGAUUAGCUAGUUGGUAGGGUAAAAGCGUACCAAGGCGACGAUGCAUAGCUGGUCGGAGAGGAUGAUCAGCCACACUGGAACUGAGACACGGCCUAGACUCCUACGGAAGGGAGCAGUGGAGAAUAUUGGAGAAGGGACGAAAGUCUGAUCCAGCAAUGCCGCGGGAGUGAGGAAGGCCUUAGGGUUGUAAAGCUCUUUUACCCGGGAUGAUAAUGACAGUACCGGGAGAAGAAGCACCGGCUAACUACGUG